UACGGAGGGUGCAAGCGUUAAUCGGAAUUACUGGGCGUAAAGCGUGCGCAGGCGGCCCGUUAAGACAGGUGUGAAAUCCCUGGGCUCAACCUAGGAAUUGCGCUUGUGACUGGCGGGCUCGAGUACGGUAGAGGGGGGUGGAAUUCCUGGUGUAGCAGUGAAAUGCGUAGAGAUCAGGAGGAACACCGAUGGCGAAGGCGGCCCCCUGGGCCUGUACUGACGCUGAUGCACGAAAGCGUGGGGAGCAAACAGG
rnacentral:rRNA from 1 species